rnacentral:rRNA from 1 species
GAUGAACGCUGGCGGCGUGCCUAAUACAUGCAAGUCGAGCGAAUGGAUUAAGAGCUUGCUCUUAUGAAGUUAGCGGCGGACGGGUGAGUAACACGUGGGUAACCUGCCCAUAAGACUGGGAUAACUCCGGGAAACCGGGGCUAAUACCGGAUAACAUUUUGAACCGCAUGGUUCGAAAUUGAAAGGCGGCUUCGGCUGUCACUUAUGGAUGGACCCGCGUCGCAUUAGCUAGUUGGUGAGGUAACGGCUCACCAAGGCAACGAUGCGUAGCCGACGUGAGAGGGUGAUCGGCCACACUGGGACUGAGACACGGCCCAGACUCCUACGGGAGGCAGCAGUAGGGAAUCUUCCGCAAGGGACGAAAGUCUGACGGAGCAACGCCGCGUGAGUGAUGAAGGCUUUCGGGUCGUAAAACUCUGUUGUUAGGGAAGAACAAGUGCUAGUUGAAUAAGCUGGCACCUUGACGGUGCCUAACCAGAAAGCCACGGCUAACUACGUGCCAGCCGCCGCGGUAA